UGGCUCAGGACGAACGCUGGCGGCGUGCUUAACACAUGCAAGUCGAACGGAGUUAAGCGCUGGUCUGAUGGUAGCUUGCUACCGGAUUCCUUGCUUAACUUAGUGGCGGACGGGUGAGUAACGCGUGAGUAACCUGCCCCGAAGUGGGGAAUAACGUUCUGAAAAGAUCGCUAAUACCGCAUAACACAUACUGAUCGCAUGGUUGGUAUGUCAAAGAUUUAUCGCUUCGGGAUGGACUCGCGUCCGAUUAGCUUGUUGGCGGGGUAACGGCCCACCAAGGCGACGAUCGGUAGCCGGACUGAGAGGUUGAACGGCCACAUUGGGACUGAGACACGGCCCAGACUCCUACGGGAGGCAGCAGUGGGGGAUAUUGCGCAAUGGGGGGAAACCCUGACGCAGCAACGCCGCGUGGAGGAUGACGGUUUUCGGAUUGUAAACUCCUUUUAUAAGGGACGAACUAAGACGGUACCUUAUGAAUAAGCUCCGGCUAACUACGUGCCAGCAGCCGC
rnacentral:rRNA from 1 species